rnacentral:rRNA from 1 species
AGCGAACGCUGGCGGCAGGCUUAACACACGCAAGUCGAACGCCAUCUUCGGAUGGAGUGACAGACGGGUGAGUAACGCGUGGAAACAUACCUUUUGCUUCGGAAUAUUCCCGGGAAACUGGGAGCAAUACCGAAUACGCCCUGAGGGGGAAAGAUUUAUCGGCAAAAGAUUGGUCCGCGUUAGAUUAGGUAGUUGGUAGGGUAAUGGCAUACCAAGCCUACGAUCUAUAGCUGGUCUGAGAGGAUGAUCAGCCACAUUGGGACUGAGACACGGCCCAAACUCCUACGGGAGGCAGCAGUGGGGAAUAUUGGACAAUGGGCGAAAGCCUGAUCCAGCCAUGCCGCGUGAAUGAUGAAGGCCUUAGGGUUGUAAAAUUCUUUCACCGGGGACGAUAAUGACGGUACCCGGAGAAGAAGCCCCGGCUAACUUCGUGCCAGCCGCCGCGGUAA